UUAAUUUAUGUUCUCACUUCAUUGAAAGCAUAAGCCUUACCUAGUCUUUUAGUUUUACAAAACUGACCCCUUUACCUCUUGACCGCAUCGUGCUGUAGGCCUAAACAUUUAUCUCCCAGCUGACUUGAAAAUUAAACCAGAUGUAACUACAUUUUUUGUAUUCGUGAAUAUAAUCAAGGGCCCGGAUCGCCGGACUCACGUCUGUGACGUCACAGAAGGGUCGGUCUACCUUAAGUCAAACCAUGUUGUAGUGUGUGACUGGUCCUCAUUAAUGACUGUCUGCACAACACCACACGGUAUAUAAAUAGAACACUCUAAUGGAAAGUGUUCAGAACUGUCUUCACGUAAUAUAUUAAAUUGUGAAACAUUGUAAAAAUAAACUAGAUGAGACAAGUAAAUAGUCAUUACCACUGCUGCCAAGAUGAAUGCUUGCUUUUAAUUCGUUGCUAUGCAGUUCGAAUUGUCAUAUUAACAAGCUGGUUUUAUUGCCGAUGUUGUGCCUUUGGCUACUGCUCAUAUACCAGUUUCACUCUUUUCUCUGUACCUUGUCAACCGUAAAACUGUAACAACUGUAUUAAGUUUUAAUUGGAUGAGAAACGCGUUUCGACCUUGCAUACAGUAAUAUGCACACACGAUGAUUUUUGCCUUAAAAUAUACAAAUAUCACAUACAAAUGAAAAGUCUUUUGCAUCCAUUAGGUCAACCAAAUAACAAAAAAAAAAACUUUUUCGCAGGUCUUGUCAAAAGUUGCAAACAGCUUAACUACAUAUCAACAGCACAAGACCCAUGUUUAUCCAUCAUAUAUUACAAUAAUUGAAGUGAUUUUCGCAAUUAAAUUGUACAUAUUUACAGGUUUGUAAAAUAUAACUUACAAAAAUGUUUAUCACUGGGUUUGCCCUGUAUAUGACCCUUAAUGAUGGACUCCCCAGUGUGCGAGAUGCCUGAGUGUGUAUAUGUUUCAGGACUUACAUUUACAUUUGACUGAAGUACUGAUGCGUGUACGCUUUUGAAUAUGAAGACGAUUUAAUCAUUUGCUGUACAAUAAAUGUUCAGUUAAUGUCAAGUGUUAAAUCAUAUACUUCAGAUGAGUAUGAAAAAUAUUUUAUCGAAUCAUGUUCAGGUACUGUGAGAACAGCAGGCAGGGGGGCAGUCAAGACUUAAUGGCAGGGAAAAUACCAUACACCAAUACUAUAAAACUCUUUCAUAUGUAGGUAUACAUAAUAUAUAUGGAGAUUCAGUCCAAAAAGCCGUUAAACCUGAUGCAUCCAAAGAGAGCCAUUUUGUUGACGUCAUGGCGUCACGUUGUCAUUAUUCUUCAUUUUGACGCCAUAGUCAAAUCAAGAGGUUUUAUUAGAUAGAUUGUCAAGGACGUAAUUGAUACAGUCAGUCAGCCACUCUUCAUCUCUACGUCAGCAAUUUAUUCAACCAAUGAUUAGAAUUUAAAUGGAUUUGUCUUAGAGCAUCCCUGUACUAUACGGGUCUUAUAUUGUGCUAAUGAUAGAGCUUAACCCUUCGGUGCUCAGGGCUGAUAAACCGUCUAAUACUAACAAGUCUUAACAUAAUUCACUGUAUAACAAAAUAUCGAUCGCCAUUCGUUCCAACUUUUUAUAGAGCGUAUACAGUGUAUUGUUGAAGACGUUACGUUCUUUUGCGAUGACAUUUUACUUCUUUUUGUGUCGUAUCUGACCAGAGAUAUUGAUGGAAUAUUUAAUCAAGCAAUCAAUCAAGCCAGCAAUUUAUCGCUAUUCGAGGUACUGAUAGGCAUAUCGCACGCACGAGAGGACGUCCUUAAAUGACCUUAGCUUUUGAUAAAACAUUCAAAAAAUAAAACCAAACCAAACCAACUUUUUAAAGUACACAUACAAAGACAAGGUUUAUGGAACGUUUAUUAGGGCCCGUAUCGAGGAUACAGUGCCCAAUGGUAUUACAUUUGUCUGUCUCUCUGUCCGUUCCCUAUUUUAACUAAUAACUGUAACUUUGACAUGUAUUGACUGAUUCACAUGAAACUUGGUCCAGAUGUGAAAUCAUGAAAAUACACAUACAGCAAAACAGUCAUGUUCAGUGGUCAAAACAAACCUCAGUGGUCAAAGUCAUCACGUUCAUAGUUCUGGUCCAAUCUUUUUACUGAUAAACUGAUAAAUUUCUCAUAUCUUUACUAAGAAAUAUUUUAUUAUAACAUGAUAAAGCUUCGGGUCAAAGAUCAAGGUGACAUUUUGCAUGUUUUCAAUGAUAAAAUUUUUGUUAAGAUAUGAUGAAAAAGAGUCUACUGAUCAAAAGCAAAGGUCAUCGGGUUCAAGGUCAAGGUAAAGAGGAAAUUUUCUAGAAUUUCAAUGAUGAUGUUUUUUUGUUAUGACACUUUGAAGAAAUGUUUUAAACCAGGAGUCUAAUGACCAAAGUUCACGGUCAAAAUUCAGUGUCAAAUUUUGCAUCUCUCAACUGAUAAACAUUUUAUCAUGAUAUUAAGAAUCAAUGUUUGUUAGAAUUAAACAAGGAGUCAAAGGACAAGGUAAUAGGUUCAAAGGUGUUCGGGUCAAAGGUCAAGGUGAAAUUUUGCAUGUUUUCACAGAUGAACAUUUUCUUGUGACACUAUGAAGCCAUGUUGGUUGGGUUGUAAGAAGAAGUCAACUGACUUAAGAUCAAGGCCAAUGGUUUUAAAAAAAGUACAAUUUUGUGAUGAUAUUAUGAAAUAAGAUUAGUCGGGCUUUUUAAAAAUAUGAAAUCAACUGAUUUAAAGUCAAGGUAUCUGGGUGAAUGUCAUGGAUUUUUUUUUAUCCUUUUAGUUAUAAGAAAUUUGUUUUGACAGUAUGAAGCAAAACUGGUCUGAAUUAAGAAUAAGUGAACUGAUAAAAGAUAAAAAAAAAAAUCACUGAAUCAUAGCUUGUUAGUUAGGCUUACCACCUCGUGAACUUCUUGUGUAAUGAUGCGGGAAGGACUCCUUGUAGUGGGUAAUGGCCAACUCCUUUCGUCGUCGUUGUAUUGAGUUUCAUUUUUACGGCAUUGAUAAUCUGUUGUUUACAUAAUAACCCACAGUCAUGGGUGAACCAUGAACUCCCUGUGUUUAUCUUACGGACAUGCAUUGAUGCAACAAUUGUCCAGGGGUCCGAUUUUGUAAGGUAGGCCUUUGACAUCAGUAGAUAACCACAAAACUAAUAUCCCGUUUGCAUGCACAACCGGAAAUAAUGUCGAUGCUCUCGAUUUUGUACAAUAUCUAUUUUUAUUAAUACUGGACUUUUAAUGUUCAAUGUUGUCGUGUAUUGUAUUUCUGAAAAAUCAGAAACGAGCCCCUCUGAGUGUGACGACAUUGACAAUUUGAUAAUUUCGUAAAGAUCAAGAAUGGCGCUUAUAAUAAUUUAGUGUUGACUGCAUUUUUUUAUCAUAAAAUAUAUACAUGAAAUAUAAAUCUCAUAACUUGUGAAGUUGCUUUAUUUUUAGGUGGUUAAGUAAACAAAUGCUAGCAUUCGAAAUCUCUCCAGGCCGAAAGUAACUAGCGGCCAAUGUUUUAACCUGCAACGCCUGAGACUGUAUUCCUACACUGACCGAAUCACUUUAAAUUGUAGUAUACAGUCGCAUGAAUACAUUUUGGUUUAUUAAUGACAUAUAGGCAAAUGCAACACAGAAUGUAAAUAUAUUAUAUAUCAAUAUAUAUAUGAACCUUGGGUUGGGAAUUUGAAUCAAGCCCCUGUGGCUACAACAUAACAAUAAGAAAUGUCCUCUGACUUAUCUCUAUUAUCCAUUUUCGGACAUAAGAUACUGUCGGAUAAAUAAGAAAUAUCUUCGUAACUGAUAACCGGCAAAGUUGAUAU